GCUUAGCCCUAAACCUAGAUAGUUAACCUAAACAAAAUUAUCCGCCAGAGAACUACUAGCAACAGCUUAAAACUCAAAGGACUUGGCGGUGCUUUACAUCCCUCUAGAGGAGCCUGUUCUAUAAUCGAUAAACCCCGAUACACCUCACCAUCUCUUGCUAAUUCAGCCUAUAUACCGCCAUCUUCAGCAAACCCUAAAAAGGAAUAAAAGUAAGCACAAGUAUCUUAACACAAAAAAGUUAGGUCAAGGUGUAGCCCAUGAGAUGGGAAGUAAUGGGCUACAUUUUCUAAAACUAGAACAUCCACGAAAAUCCUUAUGAAACUAAGUAUUAAAGGAGGAUUUAGUAGUAAAUUUGAGAAUAGAGAGCUCAAUU
rnacentral:rRNA from 1 species